AGUAAUGUAUGGGGAUCUGCCCGAUAGAGGGGGAUAACUACUGGAAACGGUGGCUAAUACCGCAUAAUGUCUACGGACCAAAGCAGGGGCUCUUCGGACCUUGGACUAUCGGAUGAACCCAUAUGGGAUUAGCUAGUAGGUGGGGUAAAGGCUCACCUAGGCGACGAUCUCUAGCUGGUCUGAGAGGAUGAUCAGCCACACUGGGACUGAGACACGGCCCAG
rnacentral:rRNA from 1 species